AACGAACGCUGGCGGCAGGCCUAACACAUGCCAGUCGAGCGCCCCGCAAGGGGAGCGGCGGACGGGUGAGUAACGCGUGGGAACGUACCCUUUGCUACGGAAUAGCCUCGGGAAACUGGGAGUAAUACCGUAUGUGUCCUUCGGGAGAAAGAUUUAUCGGCAAGGGAUCGGCCCGCGUUGGAUUAGGUAGUUGGUGGGGUAAUGGCCUACCAAGCCGACGAUCCAUAGCUGGUUUGAGAGGAUGAUCAGCCACACUGGGACUGAGACACGGCCCAGACUCCUACGGGAGGCAGCAGUGGGGAAUCUUAGACAAUGGGCGCAAGCCUGAUCUAGCCAUGCCGCGUGAGCGAUGAAGGCCUUAGGGUUGUAAAGCUCUUUCAGGGGGGAAGAUAAUGACUGUACCCCCAGAAGAAGCCCCGGCUAACUCCGUG
rnacentral:rRNA from 1 species